GUAGGGAAUCUUCCACAAUGGACGCAAGUCUGAUGGAGCAACGCCGCGUGAGUGAAGAAGGUUUUCGGACCGUAAAGCUCUGUUGUUGGUGAAGAAGGAUAGAGGUAGUAACUGGCCUUUAUUUGACGGUAAUCAACCAGAAAGUCACGGCUAACUACGUGCCAGCAGCCGCGGUAAUACGUAGGUGGCAAGCGUUGUCCGGAUUUAUUGGGCGUAAAGCGAGCGCAGGCGGAAGAAUAAGUCUGAUGUGAAAGCCCUCGGCUUAACCGAGGAAUUGCAUCGGAAACUGUUUUUCUUGAGUGCAGAAGAGGAGAGUAGGACUCCAUGUGUAGCGGUGGAAUGCGUAGAUAUAUGGAAGAAUACCAGUGGCGAAGGCGGCUCUCUGGUCUGCAACUGACGCUGAGGCUCGAAAGCAUGGGUAGCGAACAGGAUUAGAUACCCUGGUAGUCCAUGCCGUAAACGAUGAGUGCUAAGUGUUGGGAGGCUUCCGCCUCUCAGUGCUGCAGCUAACGCAUUAAGCACUCCGCCUGGGGGAGUACGACCGCAA
rnacentral:rRNA from 1 species